UUUUCAUGUUUCAACUUUACAGGGCGAUCUGAGCGUGGAAGGUGUUGGGUUCGAACCCCAAUUGUUUUUUCUGUUGCUGUGGCUGUGGCUGCUCAAUUUCUCAUCUCGCUUUGCCCAUCACUUCCUCGCGUACAGACACGUAUUCCUAAGUCCUUGGCGUUGGGUGCUGACACUAUGAUGUUGCGUUGUGAUGGUUUUAUGAAACCAUCUUCCACUGCUUGGUCGAUAAAAGUGAGGAGGUUGUUGUAGUAGCCCUCCACAUUCAGCAACCCAACCUGAGGAAGAGAAAUUGCACAACAAACUUAAAGGUCGUGAGAUCAAAACAAAGCUUUCUAGCAGAGUUUAAUGAGGUAAUUUUUGUAGAGUUUACUGGUUUGUCGUGGAUGCCUAGUUGAGCCCAUGUGAUGACUUCUAACAGUUCUUCCAUAGUUCCAUACCCACCUGAAAAUCAGUGCAGUGAAGGGAAAAUGAAACCCAUUAUCAGUGGUCUUUUUUAAAAAGGGGACUAUGAUAAGAAAUGUAAGAAAGAAGUGCGGGAUUGUGUUUCUGAAUAGGAAAGCGAAAAGGGAAUGGAUGGGACCUGGAAGGGCUAUAAAGCAAUCUGAAUGGCGGGCCAUUUCUGCCUUCCUUUGGUGCAUGUUGUCUACUGGUCUUGUCUCUCCCACUGUUUCUCCAGUUAUCUAUAAUUUUUCCCCCAAGAAAUUAUCAUUUUAUAGAAUAACAAGUUGUGUUUUGGCUGAUUGAAUUUUCAAUUAGCCAAAACAAAUUCAAUAACAAAUUAGGCUAUUGGCAUAUUUCUGACCUCUUUGUUCAUUAAUGUCCUGGGAAUGAUCCUGCAAAUCAACCAAACCCAAACAAAUUAAACAAACAUAUCUAAAAUUAAAACUUUGAAACAUCAAACCAUUUUCUGAAUAGAAAUUCAAGUUGUUUCGAUCACUUACCCCAUGACUCUGCCGCCACCAUGAUGAACAGCCUGGGAAACCAGACCCAUUAGCCCAAUGCUUCCACCUCCAUAGACAAGCCCUAAUCUUCUUGAAACCUGCAUAGAGAAACAACAGCAUAAUAUGUACAUACACGUAGAAAGGAAGGAAGGGGGAAAGUGAAAAAGACAGAGGCUUUCGUGAAUGGGUGAUAUUAAGAGAGAUUUUCAAAGCGUACCAGCUCCUGAGCUAAAUCAAUGGCUGCAUCUCUAUAGCAGUCUCUCUUUCCUGUGCUGCUUCCACAAAACACACAAACCCUUUUGAACCUGGACUUUACUACCUCCCCUUCCAUUUCACUGCUCUGGGUUGAGCCUAGAGGAGCUAGAUGAUUAAGUUAAAUACAUGUGGAUAUGAAAACAUAUACAUAUAAGGAAGGGCUUCUAUUUCACUCUGAUAUUGGGCACUCGGAUGACAGGGAAUAGCCGCUUUGUAUUAACGCCAUUUUCUUCAAAAAGCCAGUAAAAUCUGGAAAAAAAAAAAGAGCUAAAGACUUCUAAAAAUGAGAAAAUGAGGAGGAAAAGAAUAGCAAUACUUGAACCUUGGUUGCACCCAUUAUCGUGCUGCACACUCUAAUCACACAGUAAUAAGAUUAAAAAAUAUUAAAAAAGAAAAUUGGAAAAAAAAAAAAGUUAUGUAGUUAACUAUAUAUGUAUAGAAAAUUGGAUUAAAAAAAUCUUCCCCUUCUUGGUUUGUUCUUUACCAUUACUUUGUCAGUUACAUUGUACUUUAACAAACGAGGAUAAGACGAAAUAUAAGAGUAAAAAGAAAGAGAUGAGAAUCUUUCCCAUACUUGUAUGAGAGUCUCUAGUCCACUUAUACUUCUCACCAACAGAUCACCAGAACACACCAAAAGUACUGAAAGUUUUCUUUACCUAUUAGCUAUGAACUGAACUUCUUGACAUGUCAACGAGGCAUAAAUUCCUUAAAAUGUGUAGGGAGAAGCUUUAGCUAAAGAAAACCUUAAUGGGGGAAUAAGUAGAUGGGAUUAAUUUUCCACUCCCUGCCUAACAUGCAUUAUAUUAUUACUUAUUAAUAAGUAAAGUUUUGGUGGAACAGAAUUUGGUAGUGUCGAUAUGUGUGGUACGUGUCAAAAAAAGAUGAAGGUUGAGGAUGGUUUCGUAUUGAAGAGGGUCACAUGUGCAAAUGAUCCUAUAGGGAAAACUAAUGGCCAUUGAAAGAAAAGAAAAGCCCCACUCUUUUUUUGUUUGUUUUUCUUUCUUUUUAGUGUCAAUCUAUGUUUCCCCAAAAGUCUAAAGAUAGUCUCUAGUCUAGUAUCCCUAUAGUGUCUGAAAACAACAGUACUCUGUCUUAGACUCUUUCUAUUUGUCUUGUUUCUGAUUCAAAACAAUCAUAACUUGGUGGCUAAAUUGUUCAAACACGUGCAGAACUUAUCUCCA